CAGGCCUCGAACUCAGACUUAAACCUCGAGCAGCAUUCACACGACUCGAACUCAAAAACCUCGAGCCAUCUCCAUUUUUCACAACCAAAGCUGAAUUCGAACGGAAGAGACGAAAACCUAUUUUAUCAUUUGUUUGUAUUGUUUUCUGAUUUGCAGCAGUGAUGAAACAAGAAGGGUCUGAGUUUGCUUUUAUGUGUUUUUAUGACUUUAGAUAGGAUGAAAUCUCAAGCUAACGAGAUAAGCACAAAGCUGAAAACCUCCGUUCGUUUCCCCUUCUCUCAUGACCUGUGUGCAUGCGUGUUUCGAAUUUCGUGUGUCGGUGAUUGUGUCCAAAACUAUUGUGGCUAAUUUUGGUUCUCUUGGCCUGGGGUGUGCGAAAGGGGAAGAAUACGAAGAUAGGGGCCUUCAAUGGGUGUGAAGAAGAUUAAGUUUCAGGGAGGAUCAUUUGUAUAUUGGUGUUCUUUGCUAAAGAAGAUGAAGAGCAAGGAUGGGGGUCCUCAGGUCCUCAGCUGUGUAGCUCCUCUGUUAUCUCUCUAUAUCAGGC
rnacentral:lncRNA from 1 species